CAGCACCUCAAGUGGUCAGGAUGAUUAUUGGGCCUAAAGCAUCCGUAGCCUGUUCUGUAAGUUUCCGGUUAAAUCCAUUAGCUCAACUAAUGGGCUGCCGAAAAUACUGCAGAACUAGGGAGUGGGAGAGGUAGACGGUACUCGGUAGGAAGGGGUAAAAUCCUUUGAUCUAUUGAUGACCACCUGUGGCGAAGGCGGUCUACCAGAACACGUUCGACGGUGAGGGAUGAAAGCUGGGGGAGCAAACCGGAUUAGAUACCCGGGGGUAGUCCCAGCUGUAAACGAUGCAGACUCGGUGAUGCCCCUGGCUUGUGGCCAGUGCAGUGCCGCAGGGAAGCCGUUAAGUUUGCCGCCUGGGAAGUACGUACGCAAGUAUG
rnacentral:rRNA from 1 species